rnacentral:rRNA from 1 species
CCUACGGGUGGCAGCAGUGAGGAAUAUUGGUCAAUGGCCGGAAGGCUGAACCAGCCAAGCCGCGUGAAGGACGAAGGUGCCAAGCAUUGUAAACUUCUUUUGUCAAGGGACAACAUCAGGCUCGAGAGCCUUACCGAGGGUACUUGAAGAAAAAGCAUCGGCUAACUCCGUUCCAGCAGCCGCGGUAAUACGGAGGAUGCGAGCGUUAUCCGGAUUUAUUGGGUGUACAGGGCGUGUAGGCGGGAGUGCAAGUCAGAUGUGAAAACUAUGGUCUCAACCCAUAGCCUGCAUUUGAAACUGUACUUCUUGAGGGCUGGAGAGGAAAUCGGAAGUCCGUGUGUAGCGGGGAAAUGCGUAGAUAUACGGAGGAACACCAGUGGCGAAGGAGGAUUGCUGGACAGUAACUGACGCGGAGGCGAGAAAGCGUGGGGAGCAAACAGGAGUAGAUACCCGAGUAGGC